CUGGUCGUGGGCUGAAGCUACAGUGUUGUCAGUAAUGGCUUGUAUGCUGGAGCUCAGUCUGUAAGACCUAGACUAUAACAGAGGAGGCCGUACAGGCCAGCCCUGGCAGCUGCAGGUGUGGGCAUGCAUUUAGCUGUUUGAUGCUCAUGUAUGAUGCUGCAGACACAU
rnacentral:snoRNA from 1 species